UACUGUAUCUGGCAUGGUUUCAUAAGAAUAUAGAGCUAGAUAGAACUUUUAACUUUUAAGUUUUUUCACACAUUUCAGGGCCACUCAGUUCCCGGCCAACCCCUUAUAGUUUAAGUUGAUUAUAUUCAUUAAAGACAAAUAUAGUGAAUUAAAUAAUCAUAAAAAAACAAAAACAAAAUUU